rnacentral:rRNA from 1 species
CCUACGUGUGGCAGCAGUGGGGAAUAUUGGGCAAUGGAGGAAACUCUGACCCAGCAACGCCGCGUGAAUGAUGAAGGUCUUCGGAUUGUAAAGCUCUUUUCUAAGGGAAGAAGGAAGUGACGGUUCCUUAGGAAUGAGUCUCGGCUAACUACGUGCCAGCCGCCGCGGUAAUACGUAGGAGGCGAGCGUUAUCCGGAAUGACUGGGCGUAAAGGGUGCGUAGGUGGUUUGGCAAGUUAGUAGCGGAACUACAGGGAUCAACCUGGGAACUACUACUAAGACUGGUGGACGUGAGUGCAGGAGAGGCAAGCGGAAUUCCUGGUGUAGGGGUGGAAUGCGUAGAUAUUAGGAGGAACACCAGUGGCGAAGGCAGGUUGCUAGACUGUAACUGACACUGAGGCACGAAAGCGUGGGGAGCAAACAGGAUUAGAUACCCCAGUAGUC